CAACACCAAAAUAAAGAAAAGAGAAAAGAAAGAAAACAUAGAAACAAACAAACCUUAGCAGCCAGACUAGGGUUGUACUUUGGCACAACCCUCUCUUUCUCUUUUUUCACCUCCUU
rnacentral:ribozyme from 13 species